rnacentral:rRNA from 1 species
UACGGAGGGGACUAGCGUUGUUCGGAAUUACUGGGCGUAAAGCGCACGUAGGCGGAUUUGUAAGUCAGGGGUGAAAUCCCGGGGCUCAACCUCGGAACUGCCUUUGAUACUGCAAAUCUCGAGUCCGGAAGAGGUGAGUGGAAUUCCCAGUGUAGAGGUGAAAAUUCGUAGAUAUUGGGAAGAACACCGGAUGGCGAAGGCGGCUAUCUGGAGCCCAGCAACUGACGCUGAGGCGCGAAAGCGUGGGGAGCAAACAGG